rnacentral:lncRNA from 1 species
UGCGCCCGCCGGCGGCCAGGGCUGCUGCCGCCACUCCUGCAGUGCCCCCACUGGGGGCGCCAGCCUCGCCCCCGGAUGGCUCGGCCAGGCGCGAGGUAAACAGUGCUUUAUAUCCUUCCGCAGUCCAAGGGCUCUGGGCUCCCCUGGCCUGCUGUUCGCGCUGCAGCGACAGGGAUGCUGGACUGUGUAUCUGCCACCGUCGCCACGCAACACCGGCAGGCUCAGGUCAACUUUGAGACUUAGAUCCUCUUCCCCGGGAUUUUCCGCAGAAAGCCUCGCAUCUUCUGGGUACCGGGCACCCCUCUGCUGCUAUGUUAACCUGAACAAGCAGUUCCCCGCGGGUUUUAAAAAAAAUGAAGGAUUCUUGCAGCCCACAGUCUCUAGAAUUAGUUUUAUUCUUUCUCUCCGGUUGCUUAUCAUUUCAACAGAAGUCCAUUGUGAGCUUGUAGUUAGUGUCACCACCCCUCCCCCACUUACCAGUUAUAGGAUUGGGGAUCCUUUCAGAGUCUUUUGACUUCAGGACAAGGUCUUUGGGGAGAGCUCAGGAACACACACCUUUGCACCCACACUUCCAGCAAAGGAUGUUGGCUCCUAGCCAAGGAGUCAGGCUUCUCCAGCCCCGGCAUCUCAGUAUUUAGGCCAAGAACACAUUCAAUACCGGGUUCAACGGAAGGCUGCACUUUGACCCUUGCUUAUUCUUAACUUCCUGGGAAGGUUCUGGACCAUUGGCUUGAACAGACCUGGGGAAAGUUCAGACCACAGCUUAAGCCUCUUGACUUUACCUAAUGCAUCCUGGUAAGAGUAGCAAUGUAGCAGGGGAAAACAGAAAGAGAAAGAAGCAACCAAGGUCUGGGGCAAGACUGCUGGGCUUACUCUUGAGUUUUUACCCGCAUAAGGCACCUCUUUCUAUGAGGGAGGUCACUCUGUAACAAUAUUCUGCACUACCACUUUCCCGCAGGCUCCAAAGCUUGCAGAAAUGGCUGUGGUUCACAGCUCAGGAGAGCUGACUCCAUAGAGGAAAGCGGGCCCACAAUGGGAGAAGAGGCGCUUUCUGCGGUGCGUGUCUAUCAUCCUGGCUGGAGACACAGGUGAGCUGGUCCCCGGUCUUCUCAGGAGAGGCGUGCAGAACCCCGACCCCACCCCCAGGCUGACUUCUGAUCCUUGUACAUUUCAAAAGAGACCUUGAGUAUUGAGGUUGUGUCAGUGUUCAUAUUCUGAUUAGCCAGAAUCUUACUAAGGACCAGCUUUCCUUCUGAGACUGACUCUCAGUCUGGAACCUAGGCUGGCCUGGAUCUCAUGUACAGGCAAGGCUGACUGCAAAUGUCAUCUUCAAAGGCUGCAUGCAACUGUACUGAGGCUCACAUGAAAACAGAAACAGCAACAACAACAAAAACCUGCAGCAUCGAAGAACCAAACAUUAUGCCAGAAAAGACCUUUCUCACCCCAAAAUAACACCCAUAAAUUUGGGUUUUUAGAUCAUAGACAUAACUUGUUGAGUACCACCAUUAAUUUCAGAACAGUUUACACAACUUUAUGAGUUUCUUUAAAAGUAUAGAAACGAAAUCCUGGGACUUAGGGAUUCAGUUGGAACAGCCAGCUAUACAAAGGCUCUAGCUUAUCCUAGGAUUUAUGUAACGGAAGACAUAUCCAGAAUGGCCUUUCUGAAACACAAGUCAGAAUCCUUCCCAUCCCAGUGUAAAAAACCCUGAGUGCUGUGUCUUUCUUUGCUCCUCCCUGACAUUCCACUUGGGCUUUUUACU